rnacentral:snRNA from 1 species
GCUUGCUUUGGUCACACAUGUACUAAAAUAGGAAUGAUACCAAGAAGAUUAGCAUGGCCCCUGUGCAAGGAAGACAUGCAAAUUCAUGAAAAUAUCCAUAUUUUU